rnacentral:rRNA from 1 species
GACGAACGCUGGCGGCGUGCUUAACACAUGCAAGUCGAACGGAAAGGCCCUGCUUUUGUGGGGUGCUCGAGUGGCGAACGGGUGAGUAACACGUGAGUAACCUGCCCUUGACUUUGGGAUAACUUCAGGAAACUGGGGCUAAUACCGGAUAGGAUCUCCUGCUGCACGGUGGGGGUUGGAAAGUUUCGGCGGUUGGGGAUGGACUCGCGGCUUAUCAGCUUGUUGGUGGGGUAGUGGCUUACCAGGGCUUUGACGGGUAGCCGGCCUGGGAGGGUGACCGGCCACAUUGGGACUGAGAGACGGCCCAGACUCGUACGGGAGGCAGCAGUGGGGAACAUUGCACAAUGGGCGGAAGCCUGAUGCAGCAACGCCGCGUGCGGGAUGACGGCCUUCGGGUUGUAAACCGCUUUCGCCUGUGACGAAGCGUGAGUGACGGUAAUGGGUAAAGAAGCACCGGCUAACUACGUG